UACGUAGGUGGCGAGCGUUGUCCGGAAUUAUUGGGCGUAAAGGGCGUGUAGGCGGUCUGGUAAGUGGGAAGUGAAAGACCACGGCUCAACCGUGGGGGUGCUUCUCAUACUGCUGGACUUGAGGGUGCUAGAGGGCAGUGGAAUUCCCGGUGUAGCAGUGAAAUGCGUAGAGAUCGGGAGGAACACCAGUGGCGAAGGCGACUGCCUGGGGCACACCUGACGCUGAGGCGCGAAAGCUGGGGGAGCAAACGGG
rnacentral:rRNA from 1 species